rnacentral:rRNA from 1 species
UUGAACGCUGGCGGCAGGCCUAACACAUGCAAGUCGAGCGGAUGAAGGGAGCUUGCUCCUGGAUUCAGCGGCGGACGGGUGAGUAAUGCCUAGGAAUCUGCCUGGUAGUGGGGGAUAACGUCCGGAAACGGGCGCUAAUACCGCAUACGUCCUGAGGGAGAAAGUGGGGGAUCUUCGGACCUCACGCUAUCAGAUGAGCCUAGGUCGGAUUAGCUAGUUGGUGGGGUAAAGGCCUACCAAGGCGACGAUCCGUAACUGGUCUGAGAGGAUGAUCAGCCACACUGGAACUGAGACACGGUCCAGACUCCUACGGGAGGCAGCAGUGGGGAAUAUUGGACAAUGGGCGAAAGCCUGAUCCAGCCAUGCCGCGUGUGUGAAGAAGGUCUUCGGAUUGUAAAGCACUUUAAGUUGGGAGGAAGGGCAGUAAGUUAAUACCUUGCUGUUUUGACGUUACCAACAGAAUAAGCACCGGCUAACUUCGUG